ensembl:lncRNA
GGGGGAUUGAAAGAUCGGUUGGUCGAGCUUCCUUUGAUUUAGUGUUGCUAGUUUGUAUGUUGGUCAAGGUUUCCUCCCUGGGAGUAUAGAGGUCUCAUUCUGUCAGCACUUAAUCGAAAAAACUGUGCAAAUAGUGUGAGCUGAUCUAUGUACAGUAGGUCUAGAUGCCACUGAUGAUGAAAAGCCUUUAUGGAAAUGUGUAUUCCACAAACAUGGCUUACCUUUCCAGUAUCACAUGGUCAAGGUCAGACUUCCAGGAAAUCAACAGUACAUUGCUCUCCUAUGACGAGAUUCCAAUGAAAAGCUUUUAGUUAGUGUUUUUUUGUAUUGGUGUGUUUUUCUUUUUGUGUAGCCACUUAACAAUAGCUAGUAAUCGCAUCCAGAAAGAGCGUAGAUUGGUUGGUUGAUGUUACUUCGGGUUUUGUGGAAGUUGUAUUCCCUCCGAUAUGCAGUUGACCGGACUCUGACGCCUUACACUCAGACUGUACCUUGACAGUACAACCCAGUGUCUGGUUCUAGACUGUUAUGGGUUUUGUUGUUCUCCAUCUACCACAGCUUUAAAACAUAUGAGGUGACCUCUGGAUGAGAGAGAGAUGUGCAGAAACAGCAUAGGUCUUUGUGUGGGUUUUGUGCAUUUGAUUUCUUCCCUGAACACUGUAUGGUCCUUUCAGGCGUCCCUCUGUCUUAGCAAAGCUUCAUUUCCACAUAUUUCUAUAUGUAUUUGUAUGUAUUGUUAAUCAUAGUGUCCUUGGUUGACCAUACAAGUAUUGACCCUGAAUCUUAAAAGCUGUUAACAGGCCUAAAGAGAGGAGGAUUAAUGCAAAUAUCCUCCUCAGUAGGGGAAGCUCACGUUAUGGUGCACAGAAGCCAAAAACCUAGGCCUAGAUCUGUCACUCUUUUGUAUUUUCUAUGAUAGUUGAAUUUGUUUCAACCCCUUCAUAGCAAUCAUGAUCCUAUCUAUUGCUCAUCUGUAGGGGCAGGUUCAACUCUUCCGGUACCUGAGGGUUGAUCACCUGAAGGGCUUUGCGGUGGAACAGCUAUGCACUGGAAAGGUUUAUUUAUGCAGGUGUAAGAACCCUGGUUGUGGGAGUGGCAUUCUGAAAAUCAGAUUCAACUUGGGGGGGAAAUGGUGAUCUACAGUAAACAAAGUAGGAAGUCAUCCUCAACAUAGACGGACACUAGUCAGCCCAGUUCAGUUCCGUGUAGUGUUCUGUUGGGAGGCGCAUUCUGAAAAUAGAAAUGUUUUUGUUGUUGUGAAGUGGCGAUUGUCACUCUGAAGGAAUCCUCAUCUGGUGUUAAAGGGUAGAUAACGUUGUGCAAUAGUAAUACUAGAGCUUAGUAUGAGGUUAUUUUCCUGCGUGUGUGUGUGGUGGGGUGGAACCGUGUUGAGGAUCUUUCGGGUGGAGAGUUCUUAUCUGUGUCGUCAGCGAUGGGCCACUGCCCGUGUCACAUGCUGUCUCUGAUUGGUGAGUUCGCCUCCAGCUGACGUGUUGGGAGCUAUGGAGACUUUGCAAUGUAGGGUGUAGUUACAGCAAGUGUGCAAUUUGAUCACUUUACAAUGCAAUUCUUACCUAUAACCUUAACAAUACGUAAUGAAAGCAGAAAUAUAAUGUAGAAGUAAGUGCAUGUGAAGGAUCAUAGCAGUUCGCUCACUUGUGCAGGCUGAGAAGGUCACAAUAGGAUGUUGGAUUAUUCUAUGCGAGUCUUGAGUUGCCUACAAUUUGCUCAGAGACAUUAAACUCCAGUGUUAUAACCGCUAAUUCAAACAGUUCCUUCUCUCCAAAGAAGCAUUGAUUCUUGUGUUUUAUACCAGUAUAUCAAACGGCACUUUCACAAAACUAUAAUGGAAAUGAAUACAGUGUGGUUGUUUAUAUCAUCUCCCAAUACAGACUUAAAAGGGAUUUAAAAGUGUUACUGAUAUUGUACAAUUUUCCCAGUUUCUGGUGUUUGGAUAUUGCUCCUCUGAUUUUGUUUUUGAUUUGAAGAUGAAACCAAGGGUCCAGGGCAUUGUCAUGCUCGUAUGUAAAAGGAGCAACAUACCAGCUUUGUAGACUUGUUAAUGUUUUAAUCUCGUGUUCAUUAUACCACAGUUUUUAAUAUAAUUCAUGUGUAUCAUUUGUAAUUUUGUUUCAAUUAUUCAUUAAGCACAGGAUUUGUAUCAAUCUUAUUACACUAUAGUAUUUCAAAACAUGUUUAUGUUGUGCAAUGUAAAAAAGAAAGAUGUCUUCACCAAUAUAUGUUGGUGCUUGCAAUCAGCCAAGAAAAGUGUGCAAAGCAAAUUUAAAAAUGAAGCAACAGAAUGGAUAAACAUCAAUGACUCCUUUGUCUUCUUAAUGAUGUGGACACUUGCUUGUACUACACAGGCCUCUUAUUUGAUGUUAUUUCCGACUUUACGGUUAUCUGCAUCAGUUAACACGUUCAGUCCAAAAUGGAAUUGUUUGCAAAAUGUUGGUUGAACUGUCAUCUUCCUUAAUCACAUUCAUGCAAAUAUUGUGUGGACUAUCCUAGGUCACAUUACUUUUGAUAGGGGUUUUGCACUUUUUGUUCACAUGGAAAAUGUAGAAUUUGUUUGGUAUCCAGUGCUCUGGUUUCCAGUCACUCUCAGUUCAAGAGGGUCAACAUAUCAACAAAAUGUCCCAUGUCAUGUGUUAAAGUUUGUUCACUUACUAGUUACAUUCUAAACUUACACUGAACAGAAAUAUAAACAUGUAAAGUAUUUCAUGAA